CAACAAUCCUAGGUCAAGGAGUCUACCCUGGCCUGCUGUACCAAAAUAGCCACACUGUGGUCUAUGCUUUGGUGGGAGGCUAGAGGAUAUUGGUAUGCCUCCCAUUAUUUCUUUUGAAUACUCUGUCUUAGUCAGUUUUCUGUUGUUAUGGCAGAAUACCUGAGACUUGGUGAUUUAUAAGAAGAGAAGAUGUUUAUGUUGAUAGUGGUUUUAGAAGGCAGAAAAUCUAAGGGCAUGUUGCUGGCAUCUGCUUGGUGAGGGCCUCAGGCUGCCACAGCUUACGGUGGCAAGUGGAAAGGUAUUUCUAUUAUUUUCAAUUGAGAUCUAAAUUGAAACUGAGUAUUUUCUCUACCUACUAGAAGGACUUGCAAGGGACUUCAGUUUUAUAUAUUAUGAUUUGUACAUGCUUCAAACUUUAUUGAUUCACUGAAGAGAUUUUUCUGAUAACUAAACAGAAAAACUGGACACUAAGGAAGCUAAAUUCCAUUCCUCCAAAGCAUCUGGUUCCUCCUAGAAGUUUCCUGACUUCUGUGGGCAAAAUGUGAUGACAAAGGCUCACAGCUACUAAUGUGCCUAACUUGCAAGAAAGAAACUUUGAAAUGACCAGUCUACCUUUUAUUCUUUGUUUCCACUAUCUUCAACAUCUUUUGGUCUAUAAAACCAACUUUCUCUGCUCCGCUCAUUGGAACACAAUCCAUUUUAAGAAUUUAGAAUAUGUAUCAAGCAUUGGAGGGGAAGAAACUCUUCAAAGAACACCUCCGCAGAAAGAAUCUACUAUAACAGGAAGACAUAAAAAGCAAAGAAGCCACAAGUAGUGGUGUCCACCUGUACUCUACUCCUAGCACUCUGAGAAACUCGGAAGGAGGACACAAGUUUGAGCCAAACCCACGCAACUUAGACACUGAAGACUGCUAACAGUGCCAAACCAUUAUGAAGGAAUAAAUGAUUUCUCCAAAAACCUUUGGCUCAGGGCAUCUAGUGGCUUUGUGCAGCUAGAUUCCUGAAAGCUCACCUUGCUAUCACUUCCAGGAGGUCUUUGUAGUCUCCUGUGGGCUGAAGCAAGGACUCCAGGCUAUCCUCUGAUGAAAGUGAGUUGACAGACUUCACCAACAUAUUAGUGUAAGCUUUUCAGAAUCACACAGAGAUGUGUUCACAUCAAAUCAGUCUCGACAGUGAGUAAUAUGAAUUCAUAACUUGCUUUGUGAAGGCUGAACCAGAAGACCAGAGGCUAUGGGGAAG
rnacentral:lncRNA from 1 species